rnacentral:rRNA from 1 species
GACGAACCGAGCGAACGUUGUUCGGAAUCAAUGGGCUUAAAGGGCGCGUAGGCGGGCAUUCAAGUCCGUGGUGAAAUCCGGCAGCUCAACUGUCGAACUGCCGCGGAUACUGGGUGUCUCGAGGGAGGUAGGGGCGUGCGGAACUAUUGGUGGAGCGGUGAAAUGCGUUGAUAUCAAUAGGAACUCCGGUGGCGAAGGCGGCACGCUGGACCUUUUCUGACGCUGAGGCGCGAAAGCCAGGGGAGCAAACGGG